rnacentral:lncRNA from 1 species
CUGGUAAGUGCUCCCUAAUCAACAAUGCAUCCAUGCACCUUCUUGUCAUACUGCAAAAUGUUAGUGUUUGGUAUUACUAGUUAUGAGUUUUGGUAUAAUAAUACUGAAGUUACAUGAUGAAUAAUUUGACUAAAUUUACAUGCAAUUUCUUGUUUUCAUGAUUUUGGUGUUGUUUGUGAAUUGAAAUUAGAGUUUUACCUCACUGGUUUACCUUAUAAGGGUCUGCAUUAAAUGUGAAACUCUAAUUCUGAUAAAAGAACACAACACAAAAGCAUCUACAGAACUGUAUUUAUAUUUUGUAUUGUGAAGAUAAAAUGACAGUAUGUGCUAUAACAUGAAGUGGGGUGUUGAAUAUUAUCUGUUUGAGAAAAUGACUGAUUUUGUUUGCAUGGGGUGGUUGUGAAAAACAGGUAUGGCCCUGACCGUCCCAAGUACUUGGGACCAUUCUCUGAGCAGAUUCCAUCAUACCUGACUGGUGAAUUCCCUGGUGACUACGGAUGGGACACAGCUGGAUUAUCAGCUGACCCUGAAACCUUUGCCAGGAACCGUGAGUUGGAGGUGAUUCACAGCAGAUGGGCCAUGCUUGGUGCUCUGGGAUGCACCUUCCCAGAGAUCCUUGAGAAGAAUGGUGUGAAAUUCGGUGAGGCAGUGUGGUUCAAGGCUGGUGCACAGAUCUUCUCUGAGGGAGGGCUUGACUAUUUGGGGAACCCAAACCUAGUCCAUGCUCAGAGCAUUCUUGCCAUCUGGGCUGUUCAGGUUGUGCUGAUGGGGUUUGUUGAAGGGUACAGAGUUGGUGGAGGACCUCUUGGUGAAGGCCUAGACCCUGUCUACCCUGGAGGUUCCUUUGACCCUCUUGGUCUUGCUGAUGACCCUGAUGCAUUUGCUGAGUUGAAGGUCAAGGAACUCAAGAAUGGUAGAUUGGCCAUGUUCUCCAUGUUUGGUUUCUUUGUUCAGGCCAUUGUCACUGGCAAGGGCCCUAUUCAGAACCUCUACGACCAUGUUGCUGACCCUGUUGCCAACAAUGCUUGGGCUUAUGCCACCAACUUUGUCCCUGGACAAUGAUCAUGUCUUUUUAGAUGCAAUGCAAUCUUCUGCUCCUGAAGAAUCUGCAUGAGAACAAUUAUAUAUAUCCCUGAAAUAUCAAACUCUUGACUUGUGUUGUUAUAUGGUUUUCUAUUUUCCACAUAACCUGAACUGAACAAACUUUUCCUAAAUGUUAAUUAGUUCAAACAUUGAAACCAUGUUGAAGGAAUCUAUCAGUGAUGUACCAAGAACACCAUCCAACGAUUAAGAACAUAAAAGAAUGAAUCCGCAUCAAUAAUAUAGUCAGUGUAUCAUAAUUAAAAUUCAUAAAUUUAUUUCUGAAAUGAUAAAAUAUAUUUCAUAUUUAUGAUACAUAAUUUGUAUUAUGGUACAUGUUUACUUUUAAUUAUUGAUGGUGUUUUUAAAAUAUUAAAAUUUUAUUUAAAAAUAAAGAUGGAUAAGAUAUAUUAAAAUAUAUAAGAUAUUGGGAGAAAACUAAAAUGCAUUAAAGAUCAUUCUAAAACCAUUUUUUAAAUACAUUCUCUUCCAGAUUGGUUUUCUUUCUUCAUUUCUAAAACACCUUUUUUCUCUGCCAUUUUUUGUAAGUUGUAACUAUCUCUGUUUUGCGCUGUAUUCAGCAACAUCCAACGUAAAUCUUCAUAAAUAGAAACAUAUGCAAUUGCAAUAAAGUAACGCUGAAACUGUCACAAUACCCACGUCACCAACAUCUUGUAACAAGAACUCAAUUCCCUUUGAGUUAAGAACCCUUCAUUCCUGCCUUCUGAUAGGAGUUUUUCUUUUUUCUUUAAUUGCAGUGCAGCUUUGUUUUGGUUUACAUUAAACUAUUUUUCACAACUUGAAUUUUCACACAUAAACUAUAAUUUUUUUUUUAUGGGGGAAUUGGAUAAUAGUGGGUGACAGUGGCUGUUUUAGUUUUACCCAUACAUGUUAUCAUAGUAAAUUUUGUUGUACAUUUGAUUGAACAGUAUAUAAUUUAGAUCAGAGAAAAGUAUUUAUCCGUAAGUGACUGAUCUGAACCUUGGUUGAAUGUAAAAUUUUCAAAUAUUCUGCAGUGGUAGACAUGGAUUUGUGAUGGAAGUUAUAGGGAUAGAAAACAUAGGGAAAGGGUUAAUUCGUGAUGGAACAGGGUUUGUGACAUUUCCUGUUAAGUACCAAGGUUCUGUCUUCAGACCAUUUAAGGGGGAGAUCUUAGAAGCUGUUGCUACCAUGGUGAACAAGGCUUAUGCAGUUCCAUUCUCUUUAGAGUAAUUAAACUAUAUAAACCUGAGAUAUUAAGAAUUGAAUUUUAAUCUAAUUCAAUCUCAUAAAACCGAUUUAAAAGGUGAGAUUUGCAGUUAUAUAAUAUGAAAUGUUUUAAUCUCUAAUCGAUGAUUCUAACAGUAGAAAACAGUAGAGAUUGUAGUUUAUGUCUGUUGUGCUAUGUUUGUAUCAGAUGGGAGUAGAGAUCGUAGUUUAUGACUGUUGUGCUAUGUUUGUAUCAGAAUGGAUUUUUGGCAGAAGCUGGACCUGUCCAAAUCUUUGUUUCAAACCACGUAUUUGUCUUUUAUAAUCUGAGAAAUGGUUUUUAUUAUCUACAUGUUAUAUCUAAAAGGCUAUUGUUCUUCAUUUUGAAUGGUAAAAAUGUGUUUUUAGAAAAGAUCAGUGCAUGAAUUCCGUUUUUAUGAACACAGGAAAAAUUCAUUGUAUUUUUAAAGAUGACUUAAUGUGUGAGAAAUUCUAGUUUUGAUAUUAAUUGCAUGACAGUGAAGGAAACAUCAUUUUUAUUAUAAGGUGGGAAAAAUGUAGGAUUAAAAGUUGAAAAGGAUAUUACUAUCUGAAGUUUUCUUUCACAAAAAAUGCUAUCUGAACAUCUUGCUUUCAAGUUGCACAAGUACAUAGUAAAUGCAUAGAAGAGACAAUAACUUUUGUUGCAUUUACUAUAUACUGCAGAGGUUUUUUAGUGUGUUUUUGGUUCCACGUUCUCAAGCACUGGACUCACUUUAGGCUCCAAGCUACACAGACUCACAGAGUAGCUUCUAUGUUUUUCCAUUAUUUAAUAUGAAAAGUUGUUCUUGUGUGUUUCCAAAGAUAAUGUUUCAUUCUUUCUAGUGUGCCCGAAAUUUAAUGCUUCUGUCAUAAUGUAAGAUAACAGAAGCAUAUAAAAGUUAAGUGAAGUUUUAUAUCCUACUUUAGCAUCCAACUAAACUAGCCAUCACUUUGUCUUCUAACACUUAGCCUACUCGUUUUAGCCAACUUCACAAGUCAAAUCAAAAACCCAUAUAAAAUCAUUAAAAAAAUCACUAAUCUCUGCUAAGACCACAACCAUUCAAAUUGCAUAAAUAUCCCAUCUUUAAAGUUAAUCUCAUCAUGGAUAUACAUUGUUAGUUCCACUGAGCUUGUUAGAGAAAACAGAAAAAUGAUGAACAACCCAACAUUUGAUCAAGAAGCAAUCAAAUUCAUUCCAACAAACUUCUAUGUAAGAACAGAGGCUACCAAGUUACACUCCCCGGGUAUCUAAGAAACUUGGCACAUUCAAAUUAGACAAAACUAAGCUUUAUGGCUUUCCAUCAAUCCAUAAUCCACAAGCAAAAUUGUGGAAAUUAAUCACAACUAAAUCUACAAUCUGAAAGUAGCUAGAGGGCAUCAUUAAAGAAACCUUAAUGUUACACAGUAGAGUGAGUUCAUCCUAUGUCUUCCCUUCAUGGGCACUGCAUUAGGACUAAUUUAAUCAUUGAGGGCAAAAGUCCAAAAAUAUUCCUUCUCUAUUCCUUUUGUCUCUUGUGCACACCUUCCAGCUCCAAAACAAGAAUAGCACAUUCAACAGUUAAAAGGUUAUUAAAAAGGGGGUAUUAUAGCAACAAGAUCAAACAAAGAAGUAGCAUCUUCCCCUAAGCAAACAGUGGCUAAAAUUGACAAGCCCAGAUAAGCAUUGCAUUACCUAACCAUUUAUUCUCCACAAUGCUCCCUUCCAAAUGCUACUCAGCACAAUCAUUUUGGACUCUACCUCUCACCCUUUUCCUCCUUCAAAAAGUCCCUUUGGCCACACAUCCAGCAAUAUACUAACUUUUAGCAGUUUUCUCCUUGGCAUUUUCUCAAACACCAGUCGAUUCUAAUCUCUGUUGCUAUCAUCAGGAAUCAGUAACAUGCACCCAAAUGAAAAAAAUAAACUAUGAACAGCUAAAAAUGAUUAUCUCCUAUACAUGCACUCCCUUGUAUUAUAUACCACUUCCAAGCCACUCCAUUCCAAACCCCACCAAAAUAUAAAGAAAACCCCAACUUCAUUUUUACUCACUGCCAAAUGGGUAGGCAAGGUAAUGAUCCUACUGCCUCUGUGAACUCCUCCAUUGCUCUUCUUCAAGAAAGGUUUAGACAGUUGGAGAAGGUCAAAGAAAGAAGAGAGGGGAAGCAACUCCUUCAACUCUUGUCAUCUCACAGCACCUCAUCAUCUAUUAUGCACAAUCCAUCAUCACAAAACUCUCAACAACAACAACAACACGCAAGAAUGGUGCCUCCUCUUCAUGAUUCUCUUUCUCUUGGCCUCAACUUCACACAAAGUUAUCACAACACCAUGAACGUGAAACCACCCACUUCCUCCAGUUUAUGGCCACAGGGAGCACCAACAUCAACAAAUUUUGAUACCUCAGACGUUGAUACUUCUCUUCAUCUGUAAAUAUCAUCACUACUACUUGUGUCAACUUCCUAGUAGUUUUUAUCGAAAAUGGAAUUUUGCAAAGAAUUUACCAAAAUGAACAGUUUUUAAAAAAUUUAUGUGAUGGACACGAAUUUGAAUAAUCUUAGUGACGAAUUGCAUGGUUGAUACGAUUUUAGUUAUUUCUAUAUGAAGAUAAUAUGUACAAAAUAGUAUAGUUGCCGUAGUAUUGUAUAUGUAUUGUUGUAUCAUAUGCAAAUGACUAUUAUCAUUAUACUGAAUACCUUAGAUAUUUAUAUCGUCUACUUUAUUAUUAUUCACGUUAAUAUUGAAGUCGUUUCAAUAUUAUUUUCUAAUAUUAUUUUCUUGAGUAUGUUGGAGAUAGAUUAGAGUUUUUAUAAUAUAUAAGUGAAUGCAAAUCUCAACUUCAUGAGUCAAUUUUAUGAGCUUGAGUUAGGCUUAAAGUUCACUUUUGUAAUAGAGUAUUUAAAGUUUGGAUUGAAAAUUAAUUUUACAGAGAACCAAAAAUAUAUUUAAUAUUUUAUAUUAAGAAUAGCAAUUUUGAUUAUAUAUUUAUUAACGUUUAAAGCUUUCAAAAUUGCUAUAUUUAUUUAUGAAAGUAAUUUUGUGAAAUAUGCAAAGACAUGGAUGCAUCAUGCUCUAUCGAAUAUCAAAUCACGCACUUAAAUUCAUAUAAACAUGUGCAUUCGGACACACAAACACGACAAUUAUUAUAUUAUGCUCUUUAUUUAUUUGGCACUAUCUCAAGGUUGUUUGUUGAACUUAUAUUUCUCAUCAUAUUAUAUGUCAUAUUGUUGAUUUUUACUGAAAAUAUUUAAAAAUUUGUCAAUAAUAAUUUUGAGUUUCAAAACUAAAUAUCUUUUAUUGCUUUUCUAUAUCUCCAAUUUAUUCAUAUGUAUAAAAUACUUAUUCCGACCUCAAGUUAGUAUUGAUAUGAUCAAUCAAUCAUUGUAUUUAAAGUAUUGUCCACUUAGAAGGUCGGUAUUUUCUCACAAUUUUGUCCUUAAAAGACGUAUCUGUGAGUUAGAGGAGAAAAAUGUAUUUAAACUGCCAUUAACCUCGAAUCCUAAGUGAUAUGAGACUAUAUUGGCAAUGCCAAAACAAUCAUUAAUAUAAUAUCUCAUAUAUAAUAUCUCAUGUUAUUGUUAUUAUUGUUAUUGUAUUUACGCAUUUAUAAAUAUCUAAUAAUAAAUCAAAAUCAUACUUUAUUUUAUUUUCCUGCUCCAAAUAAUUUACCAUAAACUUAAAAGCAAACAUUAUCUAACCAGUUUAUUUCAAAUUAUUACGAUGUUAUUAUUUACAAAUUUAUAUUUACAAGAAAACCUGAAAUAAAUAAUUAUUAAUUUUUAAUAAUUUUGCUGCAAAGUUUUAUUCGCAAGAAAAAAUUAUAUAUAAUUUACAUAUACAUGAGUAAAUUCACAAGUAAUUAUAAUUUUUUUCUUGCGCAUUAAUUUACAAAAGAAAAUCUAUUGUAUUUCGUGUGGAAAAACUUUCACCAUAAAAUCUACAAAUAUUUUCUGCUAAAUAUAUUUCAUAUGAAAAGUUUUCUUAUUUUAAAACCAACCAAAAUCUAAAACAACUCCAACCAUUCUAGUUCUCAAACCAUAUACUAUUUUACACCAUCCAUAUAAUACAUCCACUACAUUAAUAAAAUUAAAGAUUAAGUAUAAUGUGUAUAUAUAUAUAAUUAUCAUCUUUAAAUUAUUGCACUCACGUAAUUAAGAAGCCAUAAACACUAGUCCUUACAAACAAAAAAUUCAUUAAAAAAGAAAUACUUUGCUUCCUUAUUAAUUAUUCAGAUAAAUAUUACUUGCCCGACUAUUUAUAUAAUAAUUAAAAUUAAUGAUAAUUUAUAUACAAUUUUUUUCUUUAAUUUUCCAAAACUUUUGAAACGUCUUUAAAAAACAAAAUCAUGAUAAAAUUUUAAAAUAAAAAAUAUCACGAACGUAAAGGGUGAUUUACUAUAAGUUGGAACAAUUUGUACACAAUUAUUCUUGUUGGAAUAAAAUUGAGUAGGUUGCUUAAAAUUGAGUAAGUUAAUUCAAGAAUUGACCUGGUUUAAUGUUUCAUAAAUUAAACAAAGAAUUAAACAAAUAAGGGGGAAAUUAUAUAUCAAACCAUGCUUGAAGAAAUUCAGAAAACAACAUUAAUGUCUACGAUAAAUGCAAUAUAAUAAACUUAAACAUCUUGCUCUACCGCUCAAAUAACAUUACAUUCAGAAAAUAACAUUACAUUUAGAGAGUGACACUCAUUUUUAGAAUAAUCACAAAUAAUGCCAAAUGUAUUUGUAAGAAGAAAUAGAAAAUACAUAAAACCAAAGUGUUUGGCUGGGACUUCCAUAUCACAAAAAGUCAAAAUAUUUUGUAUGGGCAUCAGCAAAGUCAUUAAGACUCCUAAGUUCUUUCUUUAUGUUAUCUAACUGUCGAAUUAAAUGAUCAAGUGUCUUAAGAACCUCACAAAUUUGUGUAUUUGCAUGGUCCAACUUAUUUCUUGUCACAACACGUUGACGCAUUUCAUCAACCCACGAUCUCUCAAAUCCAAGUUGAACAACUUCAUCACAUAGUUUAUGGAACUCCUUUUCUCUCUCAGGAUUAACACUAUCAACACUUUCAGUUCGAAGGAACAACAACAUAUUUGCCAAUGUUUUCAACAUCCAAGCUUGAAAGCGAUCACUAAACUUCUCACAAGCAUUCCAAAGAUGAGGAUAUGCUGUUAUCGCCUCCACUAGUAGAGAAAUUUGUGAAUCAUCGAGAUCAACAAACUGCUUAUACUCUUCCAGUUUUAUACGAUUUACUGUAUAAGUUGUAAAAAGAUUGAGAAGUAGGUGACAUAUAAAUAAAAGAUGAAAAAUAGACAAGAGAAGAGCAAUACCUGGAGUAACCUCAACUCCAUUAUCAAAAACAAUUUUUAUUCCCUUUGUUUUAUCCAACAAGUUCCCCUCGUCUUGGAUUUUGAUAUUUUUAUAUGGUGUUAUUCCUGCCUCGUCUUCAUUCAUCUUAUCAUCUUGUUUAACAAGCUGGGAAUCUUGUGGAAGUAUAUAUGCACCACUUGACUUGUGAAUUGUAACACCUCUAUCCAAGCUAAUGUUAUCUACACCACUUGACAAAGUUUUAGUAACAACUCCCUCUAAUGGAGACCCUUCUUCGAUCUUUUGUCGUCCUAUUUCCUCAAUAUUCUGUACAUCACGAAUGAAAAAUGAAUGUUUGCGUAUCUUUUAAGUUAUAGCUUUGAGAAGCAUUUGUUUCAUAACAUACAUCAUGUGUUAGUACAACAAUAAUCUGAGCAAUUUUAGUGGUUACCAUUAUUUCUUCGUGUGCAUGUUGGUGUGGAAGACCUGUUUCAUUGUUUGAUUCUUUGUGCACCAACUUUUAUUUGAAAUAUUGAACAAGCAUAACAAAAAUUAGUGUUUAUCGAAGGAGAUUUGUUUACAAUCCUAGUCAUUUUUAAAUUUAUAAGCAAAUGUAUUUUAUGCAAGAGAGUUACCAUACAAGUGUUUGGGAUGGACUUCUCACCUUAAAAACAUAAGUUGGUGUUAUUUUAAUUUCUUCCAUCAUGUAGUUUACUAAUGUAUAAUUUUUUAGAAGAUUAAAAUAAAAUAUAUAAAUACCUCAAUCAUGUUUGAAGAAGAAAUGAUUGGCAAAUUUUGCUCAAUCGCUUGUAUGUCUGAUAUCUUUUCACUUGUUUUGUCUAUUUUGUUCAACUUUUCUGAUUCAGAUACAAGUGCUUUGGUUUCUAUUUUUUUAUGUUCAUGUAAGAUUUCAGCUGUGCUUCCCAACAUAGAUUCAGUGUUAUCAUUAACUGGUGAAGAACAUGGUUUAUUUUCAGAUGUAGGUGGAUCUUCUUGGUUCAUUUGAAGAGGAGAAGUGUUUUCUGACAUAUAACGUUUAAGCUGAAAAUAAUUAAUUGUAAACAAGUUGAACUAUGUUCAAAAGGAGAAUUGAACACAACACUUAAACAUAAACAUGCAUAUAUCUUUUCACUUAAACUAAUAAUUAAAAUAAUAAGAAUUACCUUGCGAGUUGUGCUACUAUUAUCAAGUUGUGAGCAUCCAUCGAUAUAAAAUCUCUUCAAAGAUGGCCAUGCCUUGGACAGAGAGUUGGUAGCACAAAUACUAAUAAUGUUUGGUAGCUUAUCAAGAUAGAGUUCUUCCAAUGUUGGAAAAUGAAGAUGAAUCUCCUUAUCAUUUUUAUUAUCAAGAUGGCAUUGGCCAAUCAUAUAUUUCAAUUGGUCACAAUUGUACACUGAAAGAGUUCUUAAGUUUGGAAAGAUAGCAUCCAAAUUCUUACUCUCAUAUUCAUCACCAAUGUCUAUUAUGUGCAGAAGUUUAGGACAAUCCUCAAUACGCAAAUUUUGCAACAUCAAUAAUGAAGCAAUAGACAAAUCAAAAAGGUAUUUUUCAUUAUCAAAACCUUUUAGAUUAAUUACUCCAAUAUUACGCAUGAUGAGAAAAUUCAGACCUUGUGGUUGCUCUGAAAGAUAUUCAACACUUUCAAACAAGUGAAGAGAAUCUGAGCUAGAUAUCUGCAAUCCACACAAUUUGUCUUUAAUCAUUGAAGUGAUUAAUUUUUAAUAUAUAUAUUUUUUGAAAACUGAAAUUUAACAAAAGGAAUAGCUAUUCUCUCAAAAUAAUCUCCACCAAUCUAAUAUAUUCAAGCUACCAGCAAACCAUAAUGCAAGUAAAACCAUUUAUUUUUUAUAGCACAAACAUGAACAAAGAGAGAUAGGCAAAGUGAGUGACAGUUAAUCAUACCUUGAUUUUAAUAUAAUCCGAGUGUCUCAUUUCUGAAGCAUUUGAUGAACAAUUUACAGUGGAAAAUUCAACAUAUCUUCCCACACUCAAUGAUAGUGUUUCCAAAGAUGGACAUCUUACAUAAUAACUAUAUGGGAUUAUGUAGUUGGGGAGAUAAUCAAGUAUGAGUUUUUGUAAAGAAGGAAGCUCAGUUUGGGUACUUUUUUGUGGUUGAUGACAUGUGUUGUCUUUUGAAUUAGAACUUUCUUCAUUUCUUGUUUCAUUCAAUUUCACCAUGCCUCCAACAAAAGACUUUGGGAAUAUAUGUUGCAAUAAAUCACAUUUGUUAAUACCUCUUCCAAAUUUAGAAACAUUGAAAGAUCACUUUGGAAAUCAUGGCCAUCUUCAACCUUGUUUUCCUUUUGAUUUCUUUUGACUCUUGCCUGAGUUAUUAUAUGCUUCAAACCAUGACAAUCAUCUAUCCUCAAAUAUUUUAAUGAAGUCAAGGUCUUAGCUACAGAUGUCUCAAACAAAGACCCCAACAUUGAACAUGAAUAUAUGCGAAGAAUUACAAGGUUAAAUAGAGUAAAUGAUCCUGAAAAACAAUUAUAAAUAAAAAAUAUUAGAGUUAAUUAUAUAAAUCUUUAUGUCUACAUCUUAUACUCUUGUUUUCAAAAUAUUGAUCUAAAGGGGUUAAAACUACAAACCCAGACAUAAGAAAAUGAUAAUGAUGAAAACUUCAUCUUAAUCUUAAUUUUAGUUCCUAUGUUCUAAACUUGUAUUCUUUUAAUCUAUAGAGAUUCUAUUUUUAGUUUACUUUAUUCAUUAAAUAAUAUAUAAAACUAAAAGAAAUAAAAAAAUGCUUAGUAUUUUAGGGACUAAAAUGAAAUUGUCUUAAUUGUAUACACUAAAAUAUAAAAUUUUGUAACAACAAAGAUGAAAUGAGUAAAAAAUACCUGCGUUACGGUUUACACUGGUUGGUGAUGGAAUUGAAGUGGUUUUGAAGUGGUUAGAUUCAAAAUGUUGAUGCUUAUCUUCCUCACUAAUUUCAUCUCUUUCUUCUUUUUCAUGAAUAACAUCCCCAAUUAUUUGUUCUAGCAUAUCACAUUUGUUUAUAUAAAGCAUUUUCAAUUGAGACAGAUCUCCUAUGGUACUCACUGAGAAUACAUGAUUUAAUUUUCCACAAUCAUCUAUCAACACUUCUUGAAGAUUUUGGAAAAUUUUGGAUGGCAGGGAACACCCAACUGCAUAGUCACCUGGAACAAUGACAUAUGUCAACUCUGGACAAUUUCUUAAACAUAGUUUCUUUAAUUUUUCAAAAGACCCACUGCCAGGUACACAACCAUGCCAUAAAGCUCUUAGAUAUUUCAUCUCCAUGAUGAACAGGGUAUGCAACUUGGAGAAGAGAUUUCUCACCUUAUUCAAAUCAUUGCUAGUGUCAACCAAAUACUCAAUCUCUUCAGAAUUCAUUAUUCUCAAAUCAUUCAACUCAUUCAUACCCCCUUCAAUUUCAAAUAUAUCAGGCAUCAUAUUUUUUACAUCUCCUUCAAUAUUUUCUAUAAAGAGAUCCUUUGCUUCUUUUGCCAAACCCUUAAUAACCUCAUUUGAUAUGUUAAAAUUAUGAAGCACUAAAGUUCUUUGACAAGAGAUAAAUUCUGAUGAUAUUGAAAUAUGAGGAAAUUGUUGUCCUAAUAGAAUUCCAUACCUUUGUAGUGUUUGGACAAAACUAAACAAGUUAAAGCAUUCAAUGAACUUUCUAUCAUUGUACUUUGAUUUUGUUUGAAUGAUAUACAAUUCUUCUAAAAGUGGGAUGCUUUUGAUCUCUUCAAGAUUCUUCACUUCAAUGUCACAUUCAUUAAACUCUAACAAUUUCAAGUUUUUAAGUUGUCUAAAUGCAACAUCAGUUUGCAAAUCAAUGAAUGAAGGCCAUGAACAACCAUGCAAUGAAAGACUUUGAAGUUUCUUCAUAUCUCUUACAAAUGAGAUGUCACUCAAUUUCCAGUAUUGAAGGACUAGACAACGAAGAUUUCUUAAUGUUUUGAAAGACCUUGUUGACAACCGCAAUGCAUAAUCUCUAUUUGGAUUGGUAAUAAUCAAAACUCUAAGUUUUCCCAUUCUUUCAAAAAUUUCAUCGGAUACUUCCAAUUUUGCUUUUAUGCACAAAAACUCAAGAUUGGAACAAUCCAUAUCAUCUGGAAAUUUCACACACCAUAGAUAUCUUAUUGGACUUUGCUCCAAAGUUACAUCCUUUUCCGUUUCACACGUGAUGAUGUUAUUAUCAUUCUUUGCUAUCCAGUGGGCUACAUCGCGAACCAAGUCAUGCAUUUUGACACUUUCAUAAUCUGCAUCCAAUAUCAGACAACAACUUACAAGCUUAAUUUUGGCUGCCAUCACUUCACUCCUUGCAUUUUCAUAUGAGUUAACUUCUCCAACCACACCUAACCCAAUUGCAUAUCUUAUUAAACAUUCGACUGGAAUCUCAUAAUCUUCGGGGAAUAAAGAACACAACAGGAAAAGUGAUUUAGCUUCUUCAGAAUCUAGAUUAUCAUAACUCAAUUGUAAACACUUAUAGGGAUCUUGCAAACCUUUUCCAAUAUUGAUUGGCUUAGAACUUCUCAAUCUAUUCAAUGCAACACUCCAUAUCACAUCUUUUUUUCCCUUCAAGCUACUAGCAACAGUUGCAAUGGCAACAGGCAAUCCUUUACAUUCAUCUGAAAUUGAUUUUGCUAAAUGCUUGAUGGUUUCAGGGGUGUUUUCAUAUAUAACUGCUUUUUUUUGGAACAAAUUCCAUGCUUCUUCAUUAGUUAAGAUUGGCAAAUAAAUAUUUCUUUGACAAUCCAUUGAAGUACAAACUUCUUCUGAUCUAGUGGUAAUGAGAAUCUUGCAACCUUUAUGGUGUUUAGAGGAGGGAAUCCCUAUGCGACCAAAAUCAAGCUUCUCCCACACAUCAUCUAGAAUCAUAAGAAUAUUUUUUUCUUGGAUUAAUCUUAUGCACAAGCGUUGGGCUCUCUCCAUUUCUUCAUUUUCUAGAAAUUUAUACUCUAAUGAACUGCCAAUUUUUUCUUGAAUCCUUGGAACUUCUACUAUACUAGACACAGGCACAAAAAUAAUUUUGUCAAAAAGAUGCUCAUCUUUUGCCAUCUUCUUAAUUUCCAUUGCUAAUGUGGUUUUACCACAACCCCCCAUCCCGUACAAUCCAAUCAUGGCAACCCCAUUAUCUUUAAGUGCUUCCACUAGUUGAUCAAAAGCAAUUUUUCUACUAUCAAAAUUCAUACAUUUUUCUGUGAGAAUAUCAAGAGUAUUUGAAGGAAUUGAAGUAGUGCGUUCAUGUUGUAUAUAUUGUUUACCUUCUUGAAUGAUAUUUUGAAGGUCCUUUUUUUUAUUUGCCAACUUCUUUCCUAAACGGUAUCGCCAACUCCAAUUUGGACAGUACCCUAAACAACAACUUUUUUUGGUUUUUGCCUCUUUCAGUAAGCGAUUCACUUCUUCUGCAUCAAUCUUAGCAUUCUCCACCCACUUAUCCAUAACUUCUGCAGUCUUUAAGGUUUGUUUUCGAGCAUGUGUGACACGAUCUUCGACACUCUUUCUUGUUUCGAUAAACUUAUCUUUUUCUUUUUCAAGCUCUUUAACAAAACCAUUAAAGCAAAAGGAGUAAUGUAAUUGAUUCACAGUCUCACAUACCAAACCUUUUAAAAUAUCAGCCAAAAUAUCAAAAAUGGUGUCCAUUAAUUCUCCCUUCUAAAUUCAACUUAAUUAACCUGAUCUUACAAAACAAAUAAGAUGACCAUAUUUCAGAAUGAGUUUUAUAUCCAAUUAAAACAUAACUUUAGAUAGGUUAGAUUAAAAAAAAAAUCAUUUAUAAACUAUAAAAUUUUAAAUACGACGGAGAGUAUUUUUUUUUUUUAUGAAAAAAAAAUUCUAUACUUAAAUAUUUCUCCUUCUUCCAAAAAAAUGAAAUUCAAAAUAUGAAUAUACUUAAAUGUCAAACAAAUUUUCCGACUUUCCAGAGGAAUAAAGUAACAACGUUAAAAAGUUGUCUAAUAAUACUUGUUCACUAAACAAGUACCAUUUUUUAUUAGUAAAAAAAGGCUAAUGUCCUCAAUUGAAACUUAAACAUGUUUAUAUAAUAAUCAAUUUAAAAUAGGUCGAGUACAAAUACUCGUGAAUCUUUAAUCACAAAGUGGAAAUAAAGGUUAUUUAAUGUAAUUGAUUCUGGAAUUUAUCAUAUGUUUGAUAGAAAAAAAUAAAUAGAAGAAGAGAAAAAAUAAGGAAGAAAAAUAUGUGAAAAUUACCGAACAAAUAAAGUUUGUUUUAAAAAAGAAAAGAAAAUAAUUUUGUAAGGAUAUUUUAUAAUUUUAAAGGACAGGUUUUUAAAGAACAAAGUUUAAGUUAAAUACAAAAUGAAUAUUUUAAUAUAAAAAAUUAAGAUUAUAUAUAAUACAAAUAAUUUAUAUUUUAUAUAAUUAGUUAUUAAUCGAAAAAAGUAUUAUGAAUUAUUUUAAACGUAAUCACAUAUUUAUAAAGUCAUUACUUUCACUUAUUAUUUUGAAAUAUCAUUUAAAGUAACUAAUUAAAAAAUAUAAUUAAUAUAAUAUUUAAUGUUAUUACUAUAAUUGUAUUUACACAUUUAUAAAUUAUCUAAUAAUAAAUUUUUUUGUAAAAUAUUUAAUAUUUAAAUAAAAUGAUAUUAUAAAAUUGAAAUUUUUAUCACGCCCAAAAAACAUAUAUAUGUAUAAUUAUUAAUUAUAAACAUAAGAAAAAACUAAGGAUAUGUAAACAAAGUAUUCACAAUCAUCAAAAUGAAUACUUAUAUUUCUUUAGUUUAAAAUUUAACUUUUAAAAAAUGUAUAUGUAUAAUGAUUAAGUUGGUUAUAUCAUCUAGUUGGCUAUAUAAUAAAAACAUAAUAUUUUUCAUUUAAAAUAUUAAUCAUUUAGAUUUAAUUAUCAUUAUAUAUCUAAAUCUCAACCUACUUUCACUUUAGAAAAUGGAUAAAAUUGAAAAACUAAUCCUUGAACGAUGAGAAAUUAGGAAAAAUUAAAAUUAACAAAAAUUGCAACUAGAUAGGAGAUAAAAGAAAAAUGAGAAAGCUUCAAUCACCUACCUCUUUAUUCAGAGUAUUGAUGCUAUAUCUGCAAUAAUGAGUGACUUGCCCAGAAAGACAGUUCAAAGUCUGCUACAAGAAACAGUAUUAUUGAUUAGGAAUAUUGAAUAUAUGAUCUAAAGAAAUUUGCAACUAGGAUUUUGAGAAAAAAUAUGAAAGCUUACCUCUUAAAAAUAUUGUGAGGAGUUCUGAAUUAAUUAUAUAUUUGUGGAGAUUGGUGAGUUUAUGAUCCGAAAGAGGUGUUGUUGAGUGCUAUAUGAGUAGGUUGGCUGAAAUGAAGGUGAAUUAGGGCAUAAACAUAUGAAGGAUAUCAUGCUGUACAAAGAAAAAAUGAACAUAUCCCUUGUAUGAAGUUAUCCCUAAAGUGUAUCCCUUGUAUGAAGUUAUCCCUAAAGUGUUAGCAAUAAGUUGUGUGAUCCUCCAUUUGUGGCAGUUAUUGAGCAUCCAUGAAGUUUGCAAAUGAAAGGCAACUUGUUGGAUUCUCAGAAAAGUUUCUUCACUUGUAACCAUGCCAAGAAGAAAGCUAAUGACAGUGAGAAUUUGGAAACAAUUAUUCUUGUUGGAAUAAAAUUGACUAGGUUGGUUAAAGUUGAAGUAAUUUGAAGCCAUAUAAAAAGAUUAAGUGGGUUGCUUUCAUGAAAAGCAUUGGAGAUGCUUUUAAAAAAUAUUUUAAAAGAAUAGCAAAUGAGGAAAAGUUGAGUUAUGCUAACAAUUUCAUGCGUGGCUGCAACUUUGAAAAGUAAAGAAAGUAUUGCAAAAAUGGGUAUUAUUGAUAUGCCUAAAAGAACUAUGUAUGACUCAGAAUGAUGUUUACAAGGUGAUUGAUGAAUGUAUGGUAUGUUUCCAUAAGCUAACACCAGAAUUUUUAGACACCACUUCUCUUGACUUAGAACAUGAGAACAUACACAUGCAACUCAAUCAAAUGAAUGGCUUCCACGUCUCCAUAUUUUGGCAGAUAUUAUCAAGUGAUGAAUAGUUUCAAUGCACAGCAGUUAUGACUAGAAAGCUUCUUAUAACAUGACUCAUUAAAGGAGAAGUUUCCAAUUCAAUGAGUAUAGCCCCACCAUAAACUCAAGGUUGUCAACGUCUAAGCAAUUUGUUUCUCAAGCCAUUAGUAUACUUCCUCGUUUGCAUACCAAGACAAAGAGGGAGAAGAAGAAGAAGGAGAGAAAGACGAAGAAGACAUGAUUAACCUAGAAGAAUGUAAGGAAAUCAGUGCGCCAUAACGAGUAGGUUUAGCAGGGAAGCAGUCACUUAGAACAGUGGGAGACCACUAUUUAUAGCCUUUGAGGAAGGAGGAAGACUGAGCGUCGCUAACGUCACGCGUUUGGUGUCACUAAAGUCACGUCCCACCUCGGAAAGCUCAAUCGUCACUUCGAUCUUAGAUAAAGACUCUUUAAAUUAACCAUCUUCGAAUCUGGGGACAAGUGUACCAAUAGGAUCUGCACGACCGAAACUAUGACUCGACACUUGAUUCAAACCGACCGACAUGACGACAACGAGACUGAUUACCAACGUUUGUUAAUAUCCUUUUAUUAGGUUCAUUAAUGAUAAUGAGCCCACAAUAAUUGUAUAAAUUAACACAGAUCCCAAAGGAUAGGUACAUAAUCAUCUAAUCCUAAAUUCUGAGUGCCGAGUGCUGAAAUCUGACUUGAGUAUUAAAAUACUUUUUGCAUGUAUCAUCCGAAUCUGGAGUUAGCAAGGAGGAGGAGAGGAAGAGCAAGAAGGUAAGAGUUCAACUGAGAGGAAGGAACAGAUCGACCGACCAACCAAAAAAGUGUUUGAAUCUUAAUUCGAACCUUGAUAAUUGUACUUAAACAUUUUUCAAAAAAUUAAAAUACAUUGAUGACAAGAUAUUUUCUUUUAAAUAAAAUCAACUACCGUGAUUACUUAAGUAAAUAAAUCUAAAUCAUUAUUUUUUUUUUGGCAAAUUAAUUUUGUUUGUCCCAUUAAAAUACUUUAUUUACCUCCGUGAAUAAGACAGUUAGAAAAAAUAAUAUUUUCCUUAAAAAUUUAAACUUAGAGUAAUAUAUUUCUCGUUACCUUUUAGAAAAUAACAUUUCAGAAAAUCAUAUUUACGGAAAGUGAUUUUUUUUUGUCAAACUUAUAAGAGAAACAUUACAUUUUCACGAAGGUGAGAAAACUAACUUUUCUGUUCUCCAAAUUAAAAUUAAAAUUUUGCUGAAAAAUAAUAUCAUAUUUUUUUUAUAAAUUAAUGUAGUAAUGAGUUAAAUAUUUUAAUAAAGAAAGACUUACUCUUUUAUUUCAUAAAACUUGUAUAAACACUUUCAACAAUAUUUUUCACCCAACAAAACCAAGUAUUUACAGAACUCAUAAUUUAUGCGGCUUAAUGUUACUAUUUAUUAAAUUAAUAGAGAGUAUUUUAUAAAUUAAAAAAUUAUUUAUAUUUAAACUAAUUUUUUAAUUAAAUUAAUAUUUAAUUUAAUUAAGAUAAUAAUUAAUUAUAUUAAUUAUUUAAUUUUUUAUUUAAUAACAUUUUUUUAGUAAUAAAUCACUGUAUAAACUAGUUUUAAGCUAUCAUUACAAGAAUGUUCAUUUUCUUAUAUUAUUAUUACAAUAAAAAUAAUGGGGGCAUGAAAAAUAAGUUAAAAAAACCGAAAAGGGGAACUAGUAGAAUCGAGAAGCUUCGCCAUAUUUUUUUGAUCACACAACAAAUUCAAACCCCUUCUAAAACCCUACCAUUUCUCUGCUUAACCAAACGCACUUUCUUCGUCUCUUUCUCUCUCGCCACAAUCUUCUUCUCUCAUCAAUUCACCAUGCACAAACUCUCCACCACUGCUCGCUCUUCUUCCGUCUCCGCCUUGUUGCGCUAUGGCGGCGCACUUCGAAGGGACGUGGUUGCUCCCAUUUCCUCUUCGCACUUAGCCAAGGUUUCCAUUUCUUUCACCUUUUUCGCUUUGUAAAUUUCUCUUCAUUUCGAUUUUUCAUGCCAUAAUCCCUAGCUUGCUAUUCGUUUGUGUUUGCUUCUGCAUACAGUGAUUCUGUUUGUUUUUGUAAUAUUGCGGACUGGCAUACUGCAUAUGUAGAUCACGUUAAUUGAUUAUGUAGUGUUAGUUUAUCUGAUGUUCGUGGAUAACAAACACGUGUUGCAUCCAUUUUGUAAUUGUCGGGUUUUGUUUGUGAGGAGCAGGUGAGUGAGAAUGACUCUCAAACUAGAUGGUUUUCUAUUAUGGGAUCGGAAAAAUCCAGCACGAUUGAAUCUGCAAAUUUUCCAAACUCGAGAAGAGAUUUGUUUUUGGGUAGACGAUGUGAAUCAACUGCUGCAGAAUCUUCUGCGUCUAGUUCCCCACCAGCUGAGAGAUAUGAAUACCAAGCUGAGGUAUGGCUGUUUUUCAUGUUGUAUGGUGUCUAGUGCGUAUGGUAUUGCUUACUUGACUUUGGAUAAUAUGCAUCAUUGGCAGGUUAGUCGGCUCAUGGACCUCAUUGUUAACAGUUUAUACAGUAACAAAGAAGUGUUUCUUAGGGAGCUUAUUAGGUAUGCUCUUACGAAAUUGUAGAUGUUUUUUAGCGCUGAUAAAUUAUUCAAGUUUCUCUUUCGUCUUUUCGGGAAACUAUUUCUAGGAAGAGAGUUGAAAUUUUCAAUAUAGAAUCCUUGUCCUUGAUAUUUAUUGGACGUAUGUAAUUCCGUGUUGCCCAAUCUGUUUAUCUAUACAUUUUGAUGUACAGCAAUGCAAGUGAUGCUUUGGAUAAGCUGCGGUUUCUGAGUGUAACAGAGCCUGGGCUGUUGAAGGAGGCAGUUGAUUUUGAUAUCCGAAUUCAAGCUGAUAAGGAUAAUGGGAUCAUAUCUAUUACGUAAGAGAAAUGACUGUGAUUAAUAUUUGAUAUAAGAUUUUAAUCUCAGUUGGUGCUGCAACUUAUGUUUUAUGCAGUGAUACAGGCAUUGGUAUGACUAGGCAAGAGCUAGUUGAUUGCCUUGGAACUAUAGCUCAAAGUGGAACUGCAAAGUUUUUGAAGGCUCUAAAGGUCUUAACUUCUUCUGAAAGAUGCUUUAAGAUUUUACUGUCUUUGUUUGCUUUUGCAUUCAUAUAUAUUACCAUCUGACAAAUGUGUAUCAUUUAAAAGGAUAACAAGGAUGCCGGUGGUGACAACAACUUAAUUGGUCAAUUCGGUGUGGGAUUUUAUUCUGCUUUUCUGGUUUCUGAUCGGGUAUGCAUUUGUGUAAAAGUAAAUAUAUCAUGGUCUUUUAUUUUUUCUUUAAUUUGGUUAUGACAACUUGUGUUGUUUGAAGGUGGUUGUCUCAACAAAGAGUCCAAAAUCUGAUAAGCAAUAUGUUUGGGAAGGGGAGGCGAAUGCUAGCUCAUAUACCAUAACCGAGGAAACAGAUCCUGAGAAGCUGAUUCCAAGGGGAACUCGUCUUACACUUUAUCUCAAGGUAUGUUGAUAAUCAUCUUUUUUUAACAUUAAGUAAUUAUUUUAGUUUUCUUUUUUCCCAAGCUUACAAAUGUGAUUUCAUUAUGCCCAUUGCUACCUUUCAGAGGGAUGACAAAGGUUUUGCUCAUCCAGAGCGGAUUCAGAAGCUUGUGAAAAACUAUUCACAAUUUGUCUCGUUCCCAAUAUACACUUGGCAGGAAAAGGGAUACACCAAAGAAGUAUGGCUAUCUAAUCCAGAUCUUUUCAGUUUGAUGACACUAUCUAUUAUAAUAUUACUUGUGUUGAGUUAAUUUCAUUCUCCGCUAGAUUUUAGUAUUGACUUUUUCAGCAUUAAUAGUGUUUUGAUCUUAUUCUAGGUGGAGGUUGACGAGGAGGGUACAGAUGAAGCUAAAAAGGACAAUCAAGAUGAGAACACCGAGGUAACAUUCUGAUUGUUCUGCGUAUGUGAUGAAUUCAUUAUUUUCAUUGAUGUGAAUGUGAAUUGUGUAGCUGCUGCAAAUUUACUCAUUGACCAGUGACUUUGACCAAUUGUCAUGACAGAAAAAGAAGAAAACUAAAACUGUUGUUGAGAGGUACUGGGAUUGGGAGCUAACAAAUGAGACCCAACCAAUCUGGGUUAGUUUUAUGAUUUCCAAUUUCAUGAGGUACACUCAAACAUUUUAAAAAUUAUUACUUGAAUGAAGUGGAAUUAUUCUAUUAUGCAGCUCCGUAAUCCUAAAGAAGUCACUAAGGACGAGUACAAUGAAUUCUAUAAGAAAACUUUUGAUGAAUACUUGGAGCCAUUAGCAUCCUCACACUUUACCACAGAGGUAAGGAUUUUAUGGUCUCAAGUGCCCCCUUGUUGUGCUUAGUGGAUAUUUUUAUCUGUUAAUGACAAUUCAGAGUUUGGCUCGAAAACUAGCUUGAUAAAGUCAAUUUUUCACCAUAUUCCUGAGGAGAUUCAUAGUGUUACAAGUAAUAAGUGUGGUGAUGCUUGUUAUUUCAGGGUGAGGUAGAAUUUAGAUCUAUACUUUUCGUUCCUGCCUUUGCUCCCUCAGGGAAGGAUGACAUAAUCAAUCCCAAGACCAAGAAUAUAAGACUUUUUGUGAAGAGAGUAUUCAUUUCAGAUGACUUUGAUGGGGAACUGGUAUAAGCACUUUGCUAUCUACAUUCUACAACCUUGAGUAGCUGGUUGGUGUUGUCAAAAUUGUAUUAUUGUGGACUAAUGUGUUUGUUGCGCAGUUCCCCCGUUACUUAAGCUUUGUCAAAGGUGUUGUGGACUCAAAUGACCUCCCACUUAAUGUGUCACGUGAAAUUCUUCAAGAGAGCCGCAUAGUAAGUACAUAGGGCAAUGUGAAUAUGCUUGAUCUUUACAUCUGGAUCUCUAUUUUAUCAUACUAGUUAUGCCUUACUUAUUUUUUCCUUGUUGCUUGAAGGUGCGGAUUAUGAGGAAACGUUUAGUUCGGAAAGCUUUUGACAUGAUUCUGGGAAUAUCCAUGAGUGAGAACAGAGAGGUAUAUUAUUAUUCUGAAAAUUUUUCAUUGUAUACACAGUUUUCUUUUAAUAUUUUUUGAAGUUGUAGAGUAGCUAGGAUAAAUUUAGGUGUAGAAGUAUCAAUAUUAUAUAUAUCUUAUCAGUUAUUUUAGGUCUCUUUUUAUAACUGCUGUUGAUAAAAGGAUGGUCUUUUUGUUAGUAUUUUACUGGCUGACUUGUUCUGUAUGCAGGACUAUGAGAAAUUCUGGGAGAACUUUGGCAAACACUUGAAAUUGGGUUGCAUUGAAGACCGUGAGAAUCACAAACGUCUUGCACCAUUGCUUCGCUUUUUCUCAUCCCAAAGUGAAGAAGAACUGAUUGGCUUGGAUGAAUAUGUUGAGAACAUGAAACCUGAUCAAAAGGAUAUCUAUUAUAUUGCUUCUGACAGUGUGACUAGUGCGAAGAACACACCUUUCUUGGAGAAACUUGCGGAGAAGGAUCUUGAAGUAAUCUUUGUUUUCUUACUAGUGUUUAUAACUUUGUAUCUUUUAAUUACUUAUUUCUAUCAGUUAAUACGUAUGUUGGUGUUUUUUGUAAUGUAAUUUUUCAGGUUCUGUUUUUGGUGGAUCCAAUAGAUGAGGUUGCCAUUCAAAACCUUAAAUCGUACAAGGAAAAGAAUUUUGUUGACAUUAGCAAAGAAGACUUGGAUCUAGGUUUAAUUUCUUUCUUCUCUAAACUUCCUCUCAAUAAUUUGAUUACACAAACACUCACAUUUUUGUCUAUCAAACAUUUGUUAGUCUCUCUCUGGUCUACAAUGGUGCGAAUUAAUAGCUCUGUUCUUUAUUGUUCAAGUUUGUUACGCAUUUGUUGUUUCUGCAGGUGAUAAGAAUGAGGAAAGGCAAAAAGAAAUGAAGCAGGAAUUUGGCCAAAUAUGUGACUGGAUCAAGAAACGACUGGGAGAUAAAGUUGCAAGUGUGCAAAUUUCAAACCGACUUAGCUCUUCACCUUGUGUUCUGGUGUCUGGAAAAUUUGGUUGGUCUGCAAACAUGGAAAGGUUGUCAUCUUUUCUCUUUAGAUUGAUCAUGUAUUUUGAACGUUUAAGUAACAAUGUGCAGCAUGUAAUCAAACUUACUGCAGGCUGAUGAAGGCACAAAGUAUGGGUGAUGCAUCCAGCUUGGAUUUCAUGAGGAGCAGAAGGGUGUUUGAGAUCAACCCUGACCAUGCCAUUAUCAGGAAUUUGGAUGUAAGAUAAAUGGCCAAUUCCCAUUUCCUUUCUUCGUCAUGAUUACUAAUUGAAAUUAAGAUAACGCAAUCAAAAUGGGUAAUCUUUUUCAGGCUGCAUGCAAAACAAAUCCCGAUGAUGAAGAUGCCCUCAGAGCUAUCGAACUUUUGUAUGAUGCAGCUUUGGUUUCCAGUGGUUUUACGGUGAGCUCAUACUUGAUAUUAUUGUUAUGUCCUUUAAGUUUCCAUUGUGAAGUCCUGAAGCUGUAUAUUUUGGCUCUUUGUUGGUGCACAGCCUGAGAAUCCAGCACAACUUGGAGGGAAGAUAUACGAGAUGAUGGGUAUGGCUCUCACAGGUAAAUGGUCAAAACCUGAUCAGUUUGAGUCCACUGUAACCAAACCCCACAUCCCAGAAACUGUAGAAGCUGAGGUUGUGGAACCUACUGAGGCUGGUCAGAAGUAAGAGGAGAGUAAUGUGGACAUUUUUGUUUUCUUCCCGAUCCCAUCUGUUCUUUCUUUGUAUUCUUGAAGAACAUGGGUCAUGGGUUUUGGUAGUAACCUUUUAUAGAUAUCAUGAGGAAUUCAGUGGCAAUGCUAUAUCUAGAAGCACGUGUAAUUCAUCCUUUCAGUUGUUUAUUUAGUCAAAAACAUCAAGCAUCGCCAUAUUUAUUUGGAUAAUUAUUUUUUACGGCAGCAUCUGAGAUAAGAAUGAUUGCCCAUAGAACUGUUACUUAUAAGGUUAAGGUAGGUCUUUUUUAAAUGUUAUUUCUUUUAAAUGAUAUGUUCGUGAUAUAUUCGUGUUGAAUAAAUAUAUGUUCGUGUUGAGUAUAUUUAUUGUAGUAUUGGUAGAAUAUGUAUUAGUAAAAUGUUUAAUUUAAAAAAUAAUUAUAUGGUAUUUGUAGAAUAUGUAUUAGUAAAAUGUUUUAUUUUAUGUAUUAGUAAAAUGUUUAAUUUAAAAAAUAAUUAUUGAAUUUCUGACAAUUUUAUAUGAUUCUAACAAUUUUUAAAAAGAAAAACAUAUUAAUUUUUUAAAUAUUAAAUUUAUUGUAUAUUUUCUAUUAUAAUUAAAAAAAUGAGAAAAAAAUCUGCCAAAAAAUUGAAAAAUUUAUUAAUUUAUAUAAUUUAUAAUUAUAUAAUAUAUACAUUUGUAUUUCAUACAUUUUAGAUUUUAGAGAUUGUUUCUCGUUUAUAUUUUAGAAAUUAUAAAAUGCUGAUAAUAUGAUGAUGUGCUAUGCUACCUGCUCCAUUAUUAUUAGAUUGGGUUGUGGGGGCUGCCAACUACUUUCCGUUCUAAAAGAUUACGCGUUGUCUUUGGGCAAUGCAUUGUCGUUUCAACAACCAAUACAAAUUGAAUAUUAAUCAUUUAGUACGAUAAAUGUGAUUGUGAUUGAACUUUCUAUAAUCAAGUCAUAGUUUAAAAAAUAAUAAUUUAAAAUUAAUUCAGGUAUGGAUAAAUUGUGUUUUAUAAUACUAGUUUAUAUCAGAAGUAGAUGUGUUUUACUCGAGUUAAAAAUAGUUAAAAGUUACAAUUUGUGAAAAUGCUUUCAAUAUUUUAAUAGAAAUAAAAAUAAUGGCUUAAAAUACUAUGCCUUUUGCUUUAAAAACUAAAAAAAAAAUCUAUUUCAAACAAUAUUUUCCAUUAAAAGUUGUCAACUUUUAUUUCUGUGAAUUUUUCAAUUAUGAACAGUGUUACUUACACAAUAUUUUUUUUCAUUAUAUCGUUUUUACUCAUGAAUUAUUAAAAAAAGAAUUAUAUAAGUUGAAGCCAAAGCUAAAUUCACGAGAGGAGAAGAAUAUCAUACUUCAAUAUUUUAACAAACCAUGAUGCGAUAAGUUGCGUGCACUCAUUGGUUGGAGGGCACUUAGUAGCGUAUAGAAACAGUGCUAACAGAACAUUCCAAGUCUCUUUACACUUUCUUUUUAACACCUAUUUCCUAUUUGUUAAAAUUCAUGUAGGUCCUACUACUUUAGGGAUGAAACUCACCAAAUAAGAAAUGAGACCCAUUAAAUAGGACCUGCAUAAAUUUUGCUCAACUGAAGAGAGAAUGUCAAAAGAAAAAUGUUAAAAAUUGUAUUGCUAGUAUUUAUCAUUACGUAAUAUUGGCAAUUUGGGCUAUACCAUCUCAUCCAUAUGACACACUGCAAUUCAUUGGCAAGUGACAAAAAUGAUGGUAUGGAUGAUGGUUGAAUGAGUAGUGUGCAUGAUGGUAUACAGAACACCCAAUUUGAUUGAAGCUACUCUUGAGAUGAUGAUAAAUAAACCCAGCAUAUGGAACGUGCACUCCAAUGUUAUAUCACAUAUAGAUUCCCUGCAGGGCACACAAAUUUUCAAAUUUAGUAAAGGGUGAUGAUGCAGAAGACAUAAGGGUAAGUUACUCAAUUGAAUGGCUAAAAGUCACAGUGGAAGCAGAGAUGCAUUUCACACGCAUAAGGGUAAGGCAUAUCAAUUGAAACUGGUGAUAAAAUUCGGUGACAUGCAGACUCAAAUUUUUCGAUGCUCAGACACCUAUGCUGAUGAGAUUGAAAACCAACAAAGUAAUAAUCUUAAAAAGUGAAACAUAGUAUUUCAAUAUGAAACAAAAAAGAAGGAACAACUUCCUAUGAAAAGAACAAAGCAGGGUGUUCCACAGAAUUUAUCAAGAGAAGGAAUACCAUUUGAAUGUGGACACCCUGAUUGGGUCAAAAGAUACCUUCUGCUAUUAUAUUAUUGGCUGUUGAUACAGUAUAGCAUGGCUUUUAUGGUACCUACGAUGAACUUGAAAGUGUAGGUGAGUGAGAUACAUUUCAGACUACAGAAUACAUCCAUCUUAAAGUGAAUUUUAGGCAUAGUAAGGAGAUAUAGGAAGAAAAAAGAGAAUUCAAUGAGAGCAAUGCUUUUAAUAAAUAUGUUUCUUUUUUAUUCAAUUAAUAAUGCAUAAAAAUAGGAAGCUAUAUUUUUCCUGAACAUAAUACAGUAAAUGGCUUCCAAAUUAACAGGUAAGAAAAAGUAUCCCCCACAAUAAGAUGUACCUUAGAUGAAUCUAUGCUUACCUGCUUAAGUUCUCAAAUCAAAUCUUUCUGAGUCAGGAUCACCAUGGAAAAUGUUGAGUAGAAUGUUAAGUAUUGAAUCACAAUAAUGCAUGCUAGCAUUCAAUCAACUUAAUGUCUGUUGAACAAAAAUCGGGUAAGGCGUGUCAAUGAUAUAAAAAUUAUUCAAGGGAAUAUGAAUCAAUUCAUGAAAAGCAAAACUCGGCUAUUACUAUUGCAGAAAAGUAAUUAUAUGAAUGCAAAUACCAAUUUAGAUUUAUAGAGCCUCUGCGUAUUUUAGCAAUGUUCCUUGUUUUUUAACAGUCUCGGCCCAAACUAACAAAGGAACUAUCUCACUAAUGACCAACACUAAUAGGCAUCUAACAUUGUCCAGCACAAAAGUUGCAUAGCCUCAAAUACCAAGGAAUGCUUAUUAGAUUAUGCAUUUCCUACUAAGCACAGUAGGACCAAAACAUAGAAAAGGCAUCAAAGAACAAGUAGCACAAAUUGCAACAUACCCAAGUUAUUUUUGGCAGAAAUCAUCAUGUUUUCCAACUUUUGAGCAGCCUCAGUCAUCCCUUGGGUGUUGUAUGCCAGGAUCAUGCUAGCGAAAGUGAUGUUAUCAGGUUCACAUUUUCUUUCUCUCAUGGCCAUGAAUAACUCGCACAUCUUUUUUAGGUCACCAGCCUGCCCAUAGGCACUGAUUAUGCAAUUAAAGAAGGGAGUAUCCAAUACUACAUCAGAAUUAUCAACAUGCCUCAUGAUUGACUCAACUUUGUCAAUACGUCCAGCUUUGCUAUAUGCACUGACAAGUGAGCAAUAAGUAAUAGAAUUAGGCUUCACUCCAAGAUGCUUCAUUUUUAGAAAAUGUUGAUCCAUCUUCUCAAUUUCUCCAGCUUUGCCAAACACCUCAAUGACAGUAUUAUACGUGACAAUUGUUGGAGAAAAAACCCUUCUCUCCAUGAAAUCAAUGACAGUCUUCAUCUUCUUAUACAUGCCAGCUUUGCCAUACGACUUUAUCAUCAAAUUGAAUGUUGUUAUGUCUGGUUUUAUGCCCAUUAGCUGAAAUUCAUCAUACCACUUCUCCAUCUUAUCAAUUUGCCCAUCCUUUCCAUGUGCUCCAACAAAAGAAUUCAGUGUGAAAACAUCUGGGUGGCAGUUGCCAUUUUCAAUCAUAUCAUUCAAUGUACUAUCCAUCUUUUCGAACAUGCCAGCCUUACCAUAUCCAUCAAUUAUGGAAUUAUAAGUCACAGAGCUACAUUCAAUGCCCAGAAAUGACAUCUCCGCAAGGACAUGUUCAAUCAAAUCAAAACGACAAAAUUUUGCACAGCAACUUACAAGGAUAGAAUAUGUGUAUAUAUCUGGUUCGCAGUCAACAACUGAUUUCAUAUCUUCAACAGUAGAAAAUGCCUGAUCAAGGAGACCACUUUGACCGUAAGCACUUACAAGAGCAGUGUAGACAUCAACAGUAGGUUUAAGCCCUUCAGAAAACAUGAUCUCAAAUAGAUGAGAAGCCUCUUCAGGCUGCUUGCACUUUCCAAGCAUCAUCAACAGUUUUGCAUAGGUUUGGCAUCGUGGUUCAUACCAGUUUUGCUUUCGAAGAAGUGCAAAAAUCUGCAAAAAGAAAUGGGUUGUACUUCAGACACAAAUGUUAAUCCUAAAAUCAAUUGCAGUCACGUUCCUCAGCCUAAACAAAAACUACUCAGGUAUUACAUUCAUAGACUACGAAAUAUUUCAAAUUCAAAGCACCCCUAGGUUUUUUGAAAAACAAAUUUGUGCUUGCAUGAAGGCAAAUGAACCAGGUGAAAGAGUGAAUCAAUAUUUCUCCCUAGAAAAAUAAGAUGUCCAUAACUCUCCAAGUCAUGCCAAUUGGAAAAAUCAUGGUCACACUCAAAAUGAAAAGUCAAGCAGUAAAUAAAAGCAUCACAUAAUAUUGUUCACAUUUAAACAUGGCAAUAUUUCCAGAAGAGAACAGAACAUCACACUUGACAUACUCCUUUCAUCUCUCCACAAAACCAACAGUAGUAACUCCGAAAUUUCACAAUCCCAAGAACAGCUCAAUCCAGUUAUUUACAGCACAACUUAUCAUUGCAUUGCACUCAAUCCAAAAAUUAAUUCUCAAAACAUGCAAAUGAAUUAAAGAGAGAUAAAACUAUCACCCAUCAUUUUACACCCGGUGAAGGGACUAAAUUAUCCCUAAUUUGAUUAUUUCAACAACUCAAUGCCCCUUAAGUGUAUUUAUUUUUUAUAUCCCACAAACUAUUAAGAAGUGGAUGUUCAGUGACAUGAAAGUCUCACAAACUCUUGCUAGAAUAAUUUUGAAAAUGGCACUGAUACUUUAGAUGAGUUUUGCUAAUCACACAUCUAUUAUGAAAUUUUCUAAUCUCUAGUCUCCUAUGGGAUUUCCAACACAAACAAACUCUAUCAAAUUCCGACCAAUGAAGUUUGGGUCCAAUCUAGCAGAAAAUCCCCACAUCAUGGAAGUGUCUAAACUCAGAAUUGGACAAACAAAAUUGUCUUUGCCUCGAGAGCGGAUUGCCAACGACAGCGUUUGAUGGCGUCAUCUAGGGCUUCGAGAAGGGCCUUUGGCCAGAGCUGUUUGUGGGAGUUGGACUUGGCCUUGUUCUGAACGCCUUUGAUGGCAGCUUCCGUUCGGAGAAUGCGCGACAACUCCUUCUUCGGCUCCCUCACCAACCCCGCACUCCCUGCUUUCGCCUUCCGCUUCAACGACACCACGUGAAAACGACGCCGUCUCUUUGGAAGAGCGUUGUUGGUUGCAGAAGUCAAGGGUGUGACGGAGGAGAUACCACACGACCAUGUCAAGUUCAUUGCAGACACACUCACACUCACUCACAACAAAUCAAAAUCAUUUUUAUAAUUCCAUUUUUUAAUUUUAAUUUAUGUAUUAGAACAAUAGGUUUUUGAGUUUUUUAUUUUGCUUUAAAAUGAUAAUUUUCAAGAUUUUUAAAACUAUUUUUCCAAUAAUAAGAUAAAUGAAUAUAACAUUAAAACUAUUUAAAUUUAUAUUUUUGAAAACGGUUUUAUUUGUUUAAAUUGAAAUAACGUUUUUAGUUUAUAAACAUGGCAACAUUCAUAUAAAUUUUAGUCAUAUUUUCGCUAGAAAAACACGGUAUGUUAAUUUAUAUAUUUUGUGUUUUUGUUAAAUAUAACCGUGUAAGUUAUUGAUAUUCAAUAUUGUGUAAUAAUGAUAUUCUUUAUUUAAUUUUUAAUAUUGAAUAUAAUUAGAUAUAAAUAAUAAAAUUAAAAAAUACGGAAAUAUAUUAUUGAACUAGUCAUAAAAUGGUUUCGGAUAUUGACUUGCUAUGUAGCAUAGAUACGGAUACGGAUAUUGAUACGAUACGGAUAUGGACACGGAGAUACUUAUAAUUUUUAAAAUGUAGGAUACGAGGACACGGAUCUAUAUAUUAUAUAAUUUUAAAUUAUAUAAAUUGAAAAUAAAUAUUUAUAUGCUAAAGUAUGUUUCGGAUUCUUUUUGAAAGUAGAAAGAUAUUUUUCAUGACUUGUUCAAAAGAAUUUGUUCCUUAUUUUUAUAAUUAUAAUAAAAAUUUAUAUAAUAAAUUUAACUUUUUAAAAAAUUAUUGUAUUUAUACCUUCUAAAAUUUUAGAAUUUUUAAAAAUUCAAUAAAUAUUUUUGAAUUGAACACUUCACCAAUAAACACGGAUACGAUAAGUCUCGUUUACUUGGCUGGUGAAAAGAUAACAGUGUUAACGUAACGGUCUUUGCAACCGCGUGGACCGGUCACCGUGUGAUAAAUAACACCGUUCUCCCAGUCACGGAGUAACAGUGAGUUUGAUCAUUCUCUUGGUCAUAUUCCGUUUUCUUCUUCAUUCGCCCUUUCACCGUUUCUUCUCUCCUUUGACCUAUCGAACCCCUCUCCUUGAUUCCUUGUGUUGUGUGAAGAACAUACUUUGCCUUCUCUUCUCCUCUCUCUGGUAAUUUUCUUCUCCUUUUCACUCAAUUUUUUAUUCUUAUUGUUUUAAGCAUAUCUUUGCUCUGACUCUGUGAAUUUCGAUGCACCUCCUUCAACUGUUGAAUUGAAACAUUCUUUGUAGCAAUUUUUUAAGUCUGAAUUUCAUUGUCAACUUGUGCUGUGGGUCGUUGAAGUUGUGUCUAUGAUUUGAUUUAUUUGAUAUGCUGUUUGAGUUUAUGAGCUAACUUGUUUUUUGCCAUCAGUUUGUGGAGAAAUUAGGGUUGAUUAAUUACUAAAUAGUUUGGUGUUUACUCUCUCCGAUCUCUGCCUCUUGCUUUGUCUUUCGUCGUGUUUCUGUAUUUUGGAGGUUUAUAUGGAGUUGGAUGAAAGCCUGCACCUGUUUGCAGAUUAUGAAUUUUCUCAAGUUCCUUUGACUGUGACAAAGAAUAUGUGUAGUUAUUUACAAACUAAUUUUUGUUUCUUGGGUAUGGUCUCUAG